rnacentral:rRNA from 1 species
GACGAACGCUGGCGGCGUGCCUAAUACAUGCAAGUAGAACGCUGAAGGAGGAGCUUGCUCUUCUGGAUGAGUUGCGAACGGGUGAGUAACGCGUAGGUAACCUGCCUGGUAGCGGGGGAUAACUAUUGGAAACGAUAGCUAAUACCGCAUAAGAGUAGAUGUUGCAUGACAUUUGCUUAAAAGGUGCAAUUGCAUCACUACCAGAUGGACCUGCGUUGUAUUAGCUAGUUGGUGGGGUAACGGCUCACCAAGGCGACGAUACAUAGCCGACCUGAGAGGGUGAUCGGCCACACUGGGACUGAGACACGGCCCAGACUCCUACGGGAGGCAGCAGUAGGGAAUCUUCGGCAAUGGACGGAAGUCUGACCGAGCAACGCCGCGUGAGUGAAGAAGGUUUUCGGAUCGUAAAGCUCUGUUGUAAGAGAAGAACGAGUGUGAGAGUGGAAAGUUCACACUGUGACGGUAUCUACCAGAAAGGAC